CAGUAGCCGCGGGAAAACGGAGGGGGCUAGCGUUGUUCGGAAUUACUGGGCGUAAAGCGCACGUAGGCGGUUCGUUAGGUCUGUUGUGAAAGCCCCGGGCUCAACCUGGGAAUGGCAAUGGAUACUGGCGAGCUAGAGUGUGUCAGAGGAUGGUGGAAUUCCCGGUGUAGCGGUGAAAUGCGUAGAGAUCGGGAGGAACAUCAGUGGCGAAGGCGGCCAUCUGUGACAACACUGACGCUGAGGCACGAAAGCGUGGGGAGCAAACAGGAUUAGAUACCCGCGUAGUCCCUGUCUCUUAUAA
rnacentral:rRNA from 1 species